AUGCUAAAGACUUGCUGGCUCUCUUGCUGGCUUUGGAGGAGGAGUUUUGUGAAAGGGCCACAUGGUAAGGGACAGUGGAGAUCUCUUGGAGCUAAGAGCAGCCCUGGCAAAUAGCCAGUGGGCAGCAAAGAAGGGCCUCAGUCCUCCAAGCACAAAGAGCUGAAUUGUGCCAAUAACCUGAGUGGGUUUGACAGUGGACCCAUCCCUAGUCAAGCCUCCUGAUGAGAACUCAGCUCUUGCUGACACCUUGAUUGUAACUUUCCAGAGAACCCAGCAAAGAAAGUCAAGCCCAGACUCCUGAGCCACAGAACUUGUGAGAUAAUGUCACUUCCAAGAAAAACUAUGCAGGAUUUCCAAGUAAUGAAGAACCAAACUAGGAUUUUAACAGAGCCUUCUGAGUAAUUACUAAGUGCCUAGGUAACACUUGGUUUGCAUUAGCUCAGGAUACUGAGAGCUCUUUAAGGACAAGAAUUUAUCCUUUGAUCUGCAUUUGCCUGGCACCUAACACAAUGUCUGAUAUUUGGGUCUGUGUAGACUUUGGCUGCCAAAGAACCCGGCUGAACUUGGCUUCCCUGGGAGGGGCUCUAUCCCUGAAGACAGGCGAAGCUCAGAGCCAACCAGGAGCCCUGUCUCCUAGCUGCACCGCAGAGGGGCUCCUACAAGGACAGUUGCUGAUGGCAAAUUCUCCAACUGGCAUAAUGAAUUCCAUUUAAUUGAACUCCACCAGGAGAUAAGGAAUAUAGCUGUGGGAAUUGAUAACCUUGUCUUCGGACUCAGAAAGGUGGGCCAUAUCCAAUAACUGAUCGAUGAGGAAGUAUAUGGGCCUGUCCAUAUCGACCCAGCUUGAGAGAAUUCCUACAGGUCCCUCUGGAAUCCAAAAGGAUGUUUUUGGGCGUCCAUUGAAACUCUCCCCAAUUUGCCUUCUCCUCCUCCCUCAUAAGUAUCGAUCCCAAAGGUACACCUUAAUAAACAUCCUGAUCAUUAAUUUCCA